GAGAGAAUUUAUCCGUUACCUCCGGAAACCUUUACCUGGUGCUGUCCAGAGGCCAGAGGGUGGCAGCUUCCAGAGUCAUCAGCAGCCCUUUGACCCAGCUGCCUGGAAAUCGAAUGGAGGAAGAGGAAGGCUGCUCUCAUGGAAGUGGCUGGUUUGGAGCCGUGCAAAAACCGUGAGGGGGAAGAAGGCCCAGAGCGAGCCCUGUGCCGGGGCCCACGUGCCGCUUUCUCAUAGGAGGGGAACGCGCAGAAGGGAUGGAGAAUAAUAGGGUCAGGGUGGUUUUUAUACCCUUAAAUGCCUCUGAAAUGCCUUCUUACCCAUUUCAAACAAUAGAAUAAUGGAAGGGACCUUGGAGGUCUUCUAGUCCACCCCAACCCCAACCCCACCCUCUUGGGCUCCAGCAAAGCAGAAGCACUGACCCCACCCAGGCAGCAACACGGAGCAGGGCACGUCAUUGGCACAGGCUGCCCAUCUGUUCCCGCUGCUCUCCAGGCCUGGCAGUGGGUGGGGAGCCGCAUUCACAGAGCAGCCUGCCCAGAUGUCGGAUUGCAACCUUUGGCCAGGAGGAGCCCAGGAGAACCUGGAACUCGCAGCUGCUUCGUGAGCCCCCCCGAGACUCCGCAGGAGAAGCUGGCAGUCCUGGGCCAUCCAGCUGAGCCCCGGGCGCUCCGUUCAAACGAGCCCUAGCCCACCCUGGGGCCCCCCUGAAGACCCCACUCGGAAAGGCCUCCCUCCUCC